GAUGAACGCUUGCGGCAGGCUUAAUACAUGCAAGUCGAACGGUAACAGGGUCUUCGGACUGCUGACGAGUGGCGGAUGGGUGAGUAACGCGUAUGCAACCUUCCUCACACCGAGAAAAAGUCGACUGAAAAGUUGAAUAAAGUCUCGUGGUGUGCAUUUCUCGCAUGAGAGAUGUAUGAUAGAAGCAAUUUGGUGUGAGAUGGGCAUGCGUAUCAUUAGCUAGUUGGUAAGGUAACGGCUUACCAAGGCGACGAUGAUUAGGGGGCCUGAGAGGGUGGUCCCCCACACUGGGACUGAGACACGGCCCAGACUCCUACGGGAGGCAGCAGUAGGGAAUAUUGGUCAAUGGGCGGAAGCCUGAACCAGCCAUGCCGCAUGAUGGAUGACGGCCUUAGGGUUGUAAACAUCUUUUCUGCUAGAGGAAUAGAGUUCACGCGUGGACAGACGACUGUAUAGCAGGAAUAAGGAUCGGCUAACUCCGUG
rnacentral:rRNA from 1 species